CGUUUAGUGGCGGACGGGUGAGUAACGCGUGAGCAACCUGCCUUUCAGAGGGGGACAACAGUUGGAAACGACUGCUAAUACCGCAUAAUAUGUAUUUAAGGCAUCUUAGAUACAUCAAAGAUUUAUCGCUGAGAGAUGGGCUCGCGUCUGAUUAGCUGGUUGGUGAGGUAACGGCUCACCAAGGCGACGAUCAGUAGCCGGACUGAGAGGUUGAACGGCCACAUUGGGACUGAGAUACGGUCCAGACUCC
rnacentral:rRNA from 1 species